UACGUAGGUGGCGAGCGUUGUCCGGAAUCACUGGGCGUAAAGGGCGCGUAGGCGGCGAUACAAGUCGCAUGUGAAAUUCCAGGGCUCAACCCUGGGGGGUCAUGCGAAACUGUAUGGCUUGAGUGCAGUAGAGGAAAGCGGAAUUCCUGGUGUAGCGGUGAAAUGCGUAGAUAUCAAGAGGAACACCUGAGGUGAAGACGGGUUGCUGGGCCGACACUGACGCUGAGUGCGCGAAAGCCAGGGGAGCAAACGGG
rnacentral:rRNA from 1 species